AAUACCAGAUCUCGUCGCCGUCGACGUCGCGCGAUGGACCCGAGCCGGCCGCUGCUGGGGCGCGGCGCCCUCAUCACCUCCUCCGCCCACGUCGCCGCCGCCCUCUUGCUCGUCGCCUUCCUCUUCCUCACCCUCUGCGGCCUCCCUAUCUCCCUCUCCCCUCCCGCCGCUUUGACGUCCACGUCCCACCAGGAGCAGGACCAGGGGAGCUGCGACACCACCUCCACGCUCGACUGCGCCGACCCGCAGCUCUUCCACCUCAUGAUGCGCAGAGUCAUCGACGCCUUCCCGGACGUCCAUUUCAACCGCUUCGGCCGCCCCGUCCCCGGCGACCCGCCCUCCUCCUCCUGCGACAUGGCAUGGCGCGCCCGAUCCACCGCCUCCGCCAACUACAAGGACUACCGCCGCUUCUCCGUCGCCCGUGACCCCGUCACCUGCGCCUACUCCGUUACCUCCAUCGGGGAAUACCACUCUGGCCCCCUCGCCCGCAAGCCCCGCCGCGGCGCCACCAACGCUACCGCCCCUCCGCCCCCGCCCGCGCUCUCACGCUCCCAGUUCGCCGCGGGCAAGUACCUCGCCUACCUUGGCGGCGGCGACCGCUGCAAGCCCAUGCCACAUUAUCUGCGUAGCCUCCUCUGCGCCCUCGCCGAGGCCCGCUACCUCAACCGCACCCUCGUCGUCGAUCUCAGCCUUUGCCUUGCCGCCUCCUACGCCGGUGGCAUGCCCGAGGAGGGCAAGCGCCUCGCCUUCUACAUUGACAUCGAGCACCUACAAUCCAUGGUCGGGAUUGUUGAACACAAGCAGUUUUGGGAGGACUGGGACAGGUGGGGAGCGCAGGGUCAGCUUGGUGUCCGCAUCAUCGAGGAUACCAGGGUUGCGCCCAUCAAGUUCUCCAAGGCAAGGGAUCCCCUGAUCGUUAGGAAAUUUGGGGAUGUGGAGCCAGGGAAUUACUGGUACAAUGUGUGCGAGGGCGAGGCUGAGCGAAUGCUCCGUCCACCACAGGGGGCAAUACGCUGGGCACCAAGCCUGAUGCACAUUGUCGAUGGUAUCAUAUCAAGGAUGCAAGGGGAUUUCGACUCUGUUCAUGUUGGUGGCGAUGGUGAGAACCUCAGAGGAAGGAUUGAGGAGAAUGUCAAUGGAGGCAGGCAGGUGUACGUUGCGGGAGAGGGCAUCAACAUCUUGGUUGAUGUGCUGAAGUUGAAGUACAGCAAUGUGCAUUACCUUGAUGGGUUUGAGGAACUAUGGGAGACAGAUAGCAAGUGGUUCCUGGAGAUGAAGAGGCUCAAUGGUGGGGUUCCUGUGGAGUUUGAUGGGUACAUGCGUGAACUUGUUGACAAAGAGGUCUUCCUCAAGGGGAAGAAGAAGUUUGAAGUCUUUGGCUGAUCUACUCUGAUAUAAGGUGUUGAAGAACAUGCUCUAUUCCUGCUUGAUGGCGGCGGCAGCAAUCCUCUGCAUGUGACCCCUUGCAGCUUCUAUGGUGCCAAUUGCAAUCUCCUCCUCCCAUAACCUGAUCCAGUCCACCGACACCCUGCUCCCCAUCCUCGGUUCGUCCUCCCCUGCAUUGAAGGGUGACAUUAGUUUCAAGGUUGCACCUGGCAACGUGAAUAGGUAGCAAGGAACCAUUCUGCUCUUGAUCUCUGUAAUUUCAGGAAGAAAAGAAAACAUCUGGAUGCUGGAAUUUCAGGGGAGACCUUCAGGUUAUUACUAUUAUUUUUUAAAUAUAUCAUUUCCUAAAUUGAUGUCUAUAUUUGUUACUGGAAUGUGGGCACAUUGGUCCAAUAGUAGUAUGUUCUUUUCACAUAAAUUAGAGUUCAUAAAGGUGGUUUGAUAUAUAGGUGUCACAAUUAUUUUUUCUUUUAAAAAUAGGAGAGAGUUGGCGGUAGGAUAGGUGACAGAUUCAUUACCAUCACUACUCAUUUUUAUAGAAGUAUAGAUAUAGAAGCCAUGCAAACUCACUUAUAGUCCCUAAAAGACUAUUAAGAUUUGGGUAAAAUUGAGAGAGUAACGACUGAUGGUCUUUUGAAACCUGCAACGGACCAAAAUAUCUACUUGAAUGUUGUGGUUUAUCAGAUGAAUAGUAGUAGUCUUUAGAAUUUCUGGAUAUCUUGAACUUUGUAUAUUACAUAAUUACACUGAUUGUUGCCAAUUGCCAUCUGCUGUGCUGAAUCAUACUAAAAACAUAAGCCAUUUUGUUGGUCACUUUAGGAAAUGAAUACCAUUCUAACUAAUUCUUUUGAUCAGUUUUACCUUCAUUAUAUUAAUUAAUUGAGAAUAUAAGACAACGCCCAACUCUAACAUCUUAUUUUCUGAAAAAUAUAUGCAACAGCACCCUCAUAGAGUUAAUAUGAAGAUCCUGUUGUGCUAAUUGCGUUACAUGUUAUUUUUUGCCUUUAUAUAUGUCAAGGGUCAUUAAUCAAACAAAGUGUAUUGUCUACUCCCUGAAAGAUCUGCCGGACCAUAUUUGCUCCCCUAGUCCUCAUUAAUUCGAAUCAUUGUUUUGAAGUCAGAGCUUGCCAUAUUGGAUCAUCUAGACAGACAUAGCUUAGAUGUCACAGAAAAAUAUCCUACAUUUCGUAAAUAUCAACAGCUAUCUGGGCUUGUUUUGGAUUUCCUGAUUUUUCUGCCACAUAGAUUUCCUGAUUCCCUGUCUCAUGAUUCAUUCCAAGAACCAACUAUUUUGGGCUUGCUUUUGCUUAAGUAUAGAUUUUUACCGAACUAAUGCAUGUUAACACAAGUUACCAAUAUUUGAAAUUCACCCCUAAGCUAUAUUUAUUAGCUAGGUCUUUAUUUAAAAUUGAUGAUAUGAUGAUAUUAAAGCAAAUGGAGUAUAACAUG